AGACGUUGGAAAUUUAUUUUCAGUGUCGCAGGGAAACCGAUAAACACACCGCCUGGGGAGUACGACCGCAAGGUUAAAACUCAAAUGAAUUGACGGGGACCCGCACAAGUAGUGGAGCAUGUGGUUUAAUUCGAAGAUACGCGCAGAACCUUACCAACACUUGACAUGUUCGUCGCGACUCUAAGAGAUUAGAGUUUUCGGUUCGGCCGGACGUAACACAGGUGCUGCAUGGCUGUCGUCAGCUCGUGUCGUGAGAUGUUGGGUUAAGUCCCGCAACGAGCGCAACCCUCACUUUUAGUUGCCAUCAUUAAGUUGGGCACUCUGAAAGAACUGCCAGUGAUAAGCUGGAGGAAGGUGGGGAUGACGUCAAGUCCUCAUGGCCCUUACGUGUUGGGCUACACACGUGCUACAAUGGCAUCUACAACAGGAAGCAAAACGGCAACGUUAAGCAAAUCCCGAAAAGAUGCCUCAGUUCGGAUUGCACUCUGCAACUCGAGUGCAUGAAGCUGGAAUUACUAGUAAUCGUGGAUCAGCGUGCCACGGUGAAUGCGUUCCCGGGUCUUGUACACACCGCCCGUCACACCAUGGGAGUUGGUUCUACCUUAAGGCAAGGUUUUAAACCCUUGACCACGGUAUAGUCAGCGACUGGGGUG
rnacentral:rRNA from 1 species